rnacentral:rRNA from 1 species
AUUGAACGCUGGCGGAAUGCUUUACACAUGCAAGUCGAGCGGCAGCGCGGGGGCAACCCUGGCGGCGAGCGGCGAACGGGUGAGUAACAUAUCGGAACGUACCCAGUCGUGGGGGAUAACUAUCCGAAAGGAUAGCUAAUACCGCAUACGUCCUGAGGGAGAAAGCGGGGGAUCGCAAGACCUCGCGCGAUUGGAGCGGCCGAUAUCGGAUUAGCUAGUUGGUGGGGUAAAGGCUCACCAAGGCGACGAUCCGUAGCGGGUCUGAGAGGACGACCCGCCACACUGGAACUGAGACACGGUCCAGACUCCUACGGGAGGCAGCAGUGGGGAAUUUUGGACAAUGGGGGCGAACCCUGAUCCAGCCAUUCCGCGUGAGUGAAG